GCCAUCCCGCGUGAAGGAUGAAUGCCCUAUGGGUUGUAAACUUCUUUUGCUUGGAAAGAAACGCUCCGAUUUAUCGGAGCCUGACGGUACCUUGCGAAUAAGCACCGGCUAACUCCGUGCCAGCAGCCGCGGUAAUACGGAGGGUGCAAGCGUUAUCCGGAAUCACUGGGUUUAAAGGGUGCGUAGGCGGCGUUAUAAGUCAGAGGUGAAAGCUUGCAGCUUAACUGUAAAAUUGCCUUUGAAACUGUAGUGCUUGAAUCACGUUGAGGUCAGCGGAAUGUGACAUGUAGCGGUGAAAUGCUUAGAUAUGUCAUAGAACACCAAUUGCGUAGGCAGCUGACUGGGCGUGUAUUGACGCUGAGGCACGAAAGCGUGGGUAGCGAACAGGAUUAGAUACCCUGGUAGUCCACGCCCUAAACGAUGCUAACUCGAUAUUUGGGCUUUAAGUCUGAGUGUCUAAGGGAAACCAAUAAGUUAGCCACCUGGGGGAGUACGUUCGCAAGAAUGAAACUCAAAGGAAUUGACGGGGGUCCGCACAAGCGGUGGA
rnacentral:rRNA from 1 species